CUACGGAGGGUGCAAGCGUUAAUCGGAAUUACUGGGCGUAAAGGGCGCGUAGGCGGUCUAUCAAGUCAGGUGUGAAAUCCCACGGCUCAACCGUGGAGGUGCAUCUGAAACUGAUAGACUUGAGCAUGGGAGAGGAAAGUGGAAUUCCCGGUGUAGAGGUGAAAUUCGUAGAUAUCGGGAGGAACACCAGUGGCGAAGGCGACUUUCUGGACCAAUACUGACGCUGAGGCGCGAAAGCGUGGGGAGCAAACAGGAUUAGAAACCCUAGUAGUCC
rnacentral:rRNA from 1 species